rnacentral:rRNA from 1 species
AACAGGAUUAGAUACCCUGGUAGUCCACGCCGUAAACGAUGUCGACUUGGAGGCUGUUCCCUUGAGGAGUGGCUUCCGGAGCUAACGCGUUAAGUCGACCGCCUGGGGAGUACGGCCGCAAGGUUAAAACUCAAAUGAAUUGACGGGGGCCCGCACAAGCGGUGGAGCAUGUGGUUUAAUUCGAUGCAACGCGAAGAACCUUACCUACUCUUGACAUCCAGAGAAUUUAGCAGAGAUGCUUUAGUGCCUUCGGGAACUCUGAGACAGGUGCUGCAUGGCUGUCGUCAGCUCGUGUUGUGAAAUGUUGGGUUAAGUCCCGCAACGAGCGCAACCCUUAUCCUUUGUUGCCAGCACGUAAUGGUGGGAACUCAAAGGAGACUGCCGGUGAUAAACCGGAGGAAGGUGGGGAUGACGUCAAGUCAUCAUGGCCCUUACGAGUAGGGCUACACACGUGCUACAAUGGCGCAUACAAAGAGAAGCGACCUCGCGAGAGCAAGCGGACCUCAUAAAGUGCGUCGUAGUCCGGAUUGGAGUCUGCAACUCGACUCCAUGAAGUCGGAAUCGCUAGUAAUCGUAAAUCAGAAUGUUACGGUGAAUACGUUCCCGGGCCUUGUACACACCGCCCGUCACACCAUGGGAGUGGGUUGCAAAAGAAGUAGAUAGCUUACCCUUCGGGAGGGCGUUUACCACUUUGUGAUUCAUGACUGGGGUGAAGUCGUAACAAGGUAACCGUAGGGAACCUGCGGCUGGAUCACCUCCUU